CUGAAGAAUGAAGAGGGUGAGCGGUGUACUAAGGGGGAGUGUGUGUGUGUGAGAGAGAGAGAGAGAGAGAGAGAGAGAGCGCGCGCUCUCGCCCAGUGAUGGCUGUGGUGAUACUGGGGAAUUAUACUGCUGCAGGUAUGGAGAGGAGCCAGUUAGCACCAGAGCUGAGAUCAGAGAAGGAAAAAGAGCCGGAAGAAGUGGGGUAUUCCCAAUCUGAAUAUUAAAGAAGUGCAGGAGAGACACUGAGCAGCUACAGACCAUCUGUCCGUGGGAGUAAGUAAACCAACAAAAGAGCAAGACGAGUAAAGACUGCAUGAAAACAUCUAUGCUCAAACAUUCUCCCAGAAUAACACAGCCUCCAUCCUAGAGACUAGGCCAAAUAAAACCUGAGAUAUUUUUGUAAGAGGCCAGCUCUAGCAAGGCAACUGGCAGGUACUGUAAGGGUGUCUCUAAAACUAGGACAAAAUGCCUAGGUUUUUUCAAUUGAUACUUCAUGAUAUCAUAGAUCCAUGAUAGAUGUUUACAGCAUGCACUGUACCUUAACACACUAUGGAUGGAAUUGAACAUCUUGGGUAACGUUCCCAUAUUUGCUGUUUGCAGAUACCAUGGCCAAGAUUUUCAAUUGUGGGUCCCUAUACUUCAGCACAAAACCCCAUAUUUAUACAUCUAAAUAAAAGGGCUCCACUGAAAAAACAAUAGGGCAAAGAGCCCACAGCUCCCACAAACUCAGCUCCUUAGCAAACUUUUUACACCCAUUUAGACCACAAUCAGCAAAUGUGGCCAAGAAAAGACAGCUAGGCCUGAAGAGCGCAGAGAUCCAGACAACGAGGUGUGUGAUUUCCAACUGCUGCACAUACAGUGGAUGGCAGAAAGGCUCCCAAAGGAAAAAUGUUUUGUUGAUGAGUAUCGCCGCAGCUGCAAUUUCAAAACAGCAGGACAACAGUUGUGUACAUUGGCCUGCUUCAGGAAGCCUGUUCUGACAUCUGUGAAAGUACGUUGUGUGUCAAUACCCUCCCUAAGUUCACAGCCAAAGGGGGAAAAACCACUACAGACAGUGAACUUUUCAUGUAUCAAAAUGGUGUUAUUAACAAGUGGUCUCUCUCUGGGUCUCCAUUUAAGGAGGGGCCUGGUAUUAUACAGGGCAGUGGAAGGGGGGUCUAUGGGUGGGGGCUGUCAUGAGGCCAGUGCUUUGAAAAGGUGAAGUGAACUUUCGGUGGUGGGUUGGGGGAGUGGAAAUCAUGACCCUUAUGAUAAGGUAUGAAAUAUCUGGGGUCACAUCUUGUGCCUGUAUGCACGUGCAUAGGGCCGCUGAAAUGUAUACCGCUCCUUGCAUGAGUAAGCUGAGCAGGAUUUGAUCCUUUACUAUCUAAGCAACAUACACUAGGUUCCUAUUGGGCCUAUCAUUUCUAAGCAGACUUAUCUCCAUUGACUGCAGCUGGGAUUUCGGCUUAAAAAUGAAUGAUCCGAAGUAUCUAUUGGGACCCGGCAACUGGAGCGGUGGGUGCUCAGCACUUAACAGGCUCUGCACGGCAUCUUGUGCGGUUAGGCUCUUAGGACUAAAAUAUGAGAUUAAGUUGCUAUUCAUUUUUAAUCAUAUUGCAAGAAACCCCAUGAAUAAGAGAGGAAGGCUGGUCUUGUGUUGACAGCUUCGGUGUUGCACUUAGGAGCCUAGCUCUGCCACUGAGUUCCGGUGUGACCGUAGGCGAGUCACUCAAUCUCUAUCUCCACUUCCCCUCUGCAAAAUGAGUAUAAAGUUACCUCCUUUCUCCUGGU